GGUCGGCCGCCAAGCCUGUGCGAAGCUCCUUCGACGAGUCGAGUAGUUUGGGAAUGCUGCUCUAAAUGGGAGGUAAAUUCCUUCUAAAGCUAAAUACUGGCCAGAGACCGAUAGCGCACAAGUAGAGUGAUCGAAAGAUGAAAAGCACCUUGAAAAGAGGGUUAAACAGUACGUGAAAUUGUUGAAAGGGAAGCGCCUGUGACCAGACUCGCGCCCCGUGGACCAGCCGGCGUUCUCGCCGGUGCACUCCGCGGGGCGUGGGCCAGCAUCGGUUCCCACGGGGGGAUAAAGGCCGCGGGAACGUAGCUCCCUAGGGAGUGUUAUAGCCCGCGGUGCCAUGCCCCCGGGGGGACCGAGGACCGCGCUUCGGCAAGGAUGCUGGCGUAAUGGUCACUAGCGACCCGUCUUGAAACACGGACCAAGGAGUCAAGCAUUGGGGCGAGUGUCUGGGUGCUAAACCCG
rnacentral:rRNA from 1 species